UGGAUCUUCAUGAGGCUGGGGGCGAGGAUUUCGCCAUGGAUGAGGAUGGGGACGAGAGCAUCCACAAACUAAAAGAAAAGGCGAAGAAACGGAAGGGCCACGGCUUUGGCUCCGAAGGGUCUCGAGCGCGGAUGCGUGAGGAUUAUGACAGCUUGGAGCAGGAUGGUGAUGAACCUGGACCACAACGCUCUGUUGAAGGCUGGAUUCUCUUUGUCACUGGAGUCCAUGAGGAAGCCACUGAAGAAGACAUCCAUGACAAAUUUGCAGAGUAUGGGGAAAUAAAAAACAUCCACCUCACUCUGGACAGGCGUACAGGAUACCUGAAGGGGUAUACUCUAGUUGAGUAUGAAACAUACAAGGAGGCCCAGGCUGCUAUGGAGGGACUCAAUGGCCAGGAUUUGAUGGGACAGCCAAUCAGUGUGGACUGGUCUUUUGUUCGGGGUCCACCUAAGGGCAAGAGGAGAGGUGGCGGAAGACGCAGCAGGAGGGAACACAAAAGCUUGUCUGGAGAAGAAUGUAUUUUCAAACACACUCAGAAUGUUGGCAGAAUUUGUUUCCCCGUGGUUGGAGGACAGAAAGCUCAGCUUCCUUCUAAAUCUCUGUUGGAGGCCACUCUCAGCUACCAGAAGUUAUCCCAAGUUGCUGGCAGUGUGGACUGUCUCACUGGGACUGCUUACUUCACUAAGCCAAGCAAGGAAAGUCUCUUCAGCGAAUCUGCUAGCACAACUGAGUUUUAA